GUUGAAGAGCAUUGAGGACCAAAAUUCCUAAAAGUUUUGCCAAAUACAGCUAAGGUUAUCAAUGCCUGAGGUAGAAAAGCCUUAGUAUUUCAAAAAUUCAAAAUUUUGGGAACAGUAAAUUUAUGAAUAUAACUAUAUCAAUGAUAAUUCAUGUCAGCAAAAGUGCUGACUACUGGGCUGGUGAUACCCUCGGGGAAAUAAAUCUCCACCAGCAGUGGCAUCG
rnacentral:lncRNA from 1 species